GCAUUAGUAGCUUAAUUUUAUAGCGAUAGUUUUGUAAACUGUAGUGUGGGGGUUAGAAUCCCUCUUAAUGCU
rnacentral:tRNA from 1 species